rnacentral:sRNA from 1 species
UAAUGCUUCUGAUACAGUUGAAAGUUCGAGCCUUCAGGGAGAGUUGGAACCAGCAUCAUUUUCCUGGACAUAUGAAGAAAUUAAAGAAGUUCACAAGCGUUGGUGGCAAUUGAGAGAUAAUGCUGUAGAAAUCUUUCUAACAAAUGGCAGAACACUCCUGUUGGCAUUUGAUAACACCAAGGUUCGUGAUGAUGUAUACCACAAUAUACUCACAAAUAACCUCCCUAAUCUUUUGGAAUAUGGUAACAUCACCGCUCUGACAAAUUUAUGGUAUACUGGGCAAAUUACUAAUUUUGAAUAUUUGACUCACUUAAACAAACAUGCUGGCCGAUCCUUCAAUGAUCUCAUGCAGUAUCCUGUGUUCCCAUUUAUACUUGCUGACUACAUUAGUGAGACACUUGACCUCAAUGAUCCGUUGAUAUACAGAAAUCUCUCUAAACCUAUAGCUGUUCAGUAUAAAGAAAAAGAAGAUCGUUAUGUGGACACAUACAAGUACUUGGAGGAAGAGUACCGCAAAGGAGCCAGAGAAGAUGACCCCAUGCCUCCCGUGCAGCCCUAUCACUAUGGCUCCCACUAUUCCAACAGCGGCACUGUGCUUCACUUCCUGGUCAGGAUGCCUCCUUUCACUAAGAUGUUUUUAGCCUAUCAAGAUUUUUUUUAGUGGCUAGCCAAUGCCAAUUGACUCAACAGAAUAGAUGAGAAAGUAAUACAAGUGACA